GCAGACUCGCCGGUCCUACCACUGCCCCAUCCUAUAGUAGAACUAAAAACAGCAUCUGCAAAAAGCCUGCGAUAUAACCGAAAAAGCCUGACAUCAAACGAAAGGUUGACUCCCAAGAAAACAGAUAAUUCAAGAAACAGAAAAGAACUUAAAAAUUUGAAAAUUUCUCAAAUACUUGAGAAAUUCUGGCAUCCAUUUCCAUGAAACAAAAAAUAGCAUGAACUUUGGGAAAUGACGAACGGCACAGGAUACAUUAUGAAAAAAUAAAGGGGGAAGUGUAACUAAAAACUUAAGGAAAGAUAAACUGUACAAGAAUGGUCCAAAUAGCAGGCACACUCUCUAAAUUAGCAUACAAGUGAAUAGACUUCCAAGUGAAUGGAAUGAAUUCUAAGCAAUUGCUGGACUGAGUAAGAACUUGGAGGAAAUUAAUAGCAUGAUGUGGAAGGCAUACAUUUCCUCAUCCCCGAAGAAAAAAACAAUGAUAAAACAAACUACAGGGAAAAACAAGCAUUUCAAACUGUACAAGAAAAUCAUGCUUCAAACAUCAAGCAAUCUCAGCUGUUGCAUGGUUUUGAACAGUUGCCAGACUGUGAGAAGGGGAAUCUGUUUGAAUACUGGCGUGUGGAUCGAGACUCUGGAGUCACAGGUUUUCUCCUGAUAUGACCAGACUUAGGACUUUACAGGCACAGAUGCAGGUUCCAGGCCCUGGACUUCCCUCAGACCAGUCUACAGCCUGGGCACCCUUGGCCUCUUCCUUGGGCAUAGUUUUGUGACUGCCUUCAGAUUCAGACGGGUUCUGGUCACCUGAAUGACGACUGACAUUGACCCCACUCUCCAGCAACUCAGAGAGACUGUCUCUAGAACUCCAUCCUCCAGUACAGGGGUGGGAGUGGGCACAGAGUUGUAAACAUUCCAUCCUUCAAGGCAUGUCUUACAAGUCCCCAAUUUGGGCAGUUUGACUGCAAAUCCAACAGCUUCACUUCAAACCCUUCCUGAAAAAUGCUUGGAAACCUAGAGGCCAGGUUCAUAAGCCACAAUUUGUUGAGCCAAAGAAUCUGAAUGAUUUGGGGUAAGGUAACCAAAGUCCUAAAAGGUGGAGGCUCCAGGACAAGUAAGGAUAUCUAAUAUUUGGGGACUUUUACUGAGUACUAAUGUCUGUCCGUCACCUGUAUUUCUACUCCAAGUAGUCCUGUGGUCUGGAGAAGUGAAGCCCUGUGAUUUUAAUCAGUUCCCCAAAAGAGGGGAUGUUAGGUAGACAGAAAAGUAAUACAGACAAUAGUUACCUUCUACUCCAUGUAUUCCCAGCAUGUACGAACGCCCUUCUUCCAUUCAUAAGAUUUUGAAAAGGCUCCCUCCUGGCAUAAUUGAAUUACUCCUCAUGCAGCCAGGAGCUACCCAAAGAGAGGCAACACAUACAAACACUUCCGGCUGCCAUACUCAGAGGUGAGGUCAUGGGACCUCUGUAGUUUCAGUUCUCCCAGUGAUGUCUCUUCUUUCCCUAGUUCUGCCAUCAUCCCAACGUGGUAUUCCACAACUCCAUGACCUAAAUGCUGAAUUUACCACCACCACUCUGUCCUACUUAUACUACUAAAGAAGUGUUAUGAAGAAUAAUAAAGAUAUAAGUAAAGGAGA